CCAGUGUUAUAUCAAACGAAAGUAGCUUUGGCAAAAUCGGACACGAUGAACAAGGAA
rnacentral:sRNA from 1 species